ensembl:lincRNA
GUUCAGUUCUAAUUCUUAGAAAGUACUUCUUUGAACUGAAUUAUCCAAAAGUUAUAUUUGUCUGUCCUAGUUCUACCCUCUGUGGUUAAACUAGCAAGCUAUAAUCAUUUUUCCAUAUGGAAGUACUUUUUCUAUUUGAAGAGUUUUCAAAUCUCUUUGGAUAAUCUUAUCCCAGAUCCUUCAACUAUUUCUCCUGAUUUUGAGAACUUCACUGUCUUGAUCACUUUCUGUGGAAAAGCUCUGCUUACUGAACAACUCUGAAUGAGGGAAAUGAUAUUUUUUAAGAGCCAGGAGGCAUAUAAAUGUUCUCAGGCCACCAUCUUGAACCAAGAGGUAUCAGAACCAAGAAAAGUGUUAAAUGAAUUGCUCCACGGGUCCAGACGUUAAGAGAUACAUGGAGAUAGUUGAAAUGUAAAGAAGAAACAAAAAGGGAAUCAGGAGGGAACCAAGGCAGCAUCAUUGCAAUGCUGUGGCUCCAACACCAUCAAAGUGGUUCGUCAUAGUCAACAAAUGUAGCAUUUUUGACUCUUAAAUCAUCCCUAUGUUCAUUAAGGUUAACCCUCAGAAUGUUGAAAUUAU